ensembl:lncRNA
UGUACAUGUACACAAUGUACUACAUUAAAACCGCCUCACGCACAGCGGUGAGUAAACGCCAUGGCAACAGGACGGUGACGUUUCACUGAGGUCACCUGAACGCUGCUGGCCAUUCUGAAUUCACUUCUGCUGUUGAACUUGACGAGUGUAGCUGUGUUACCUAAAAAGUUGAACGGUCUGAGGCCCAAUCCCGUGGAAAAUAACCUGUGGAGAAUAAAUUGUUGGAGAACCGACCAAAAGUACUAACGAGUGUUACGUGGAGGAGACGAUGUCUUCCAGUGGACCCCCUGCGGUGGAGCCCCUGCUGAGCAGAGUCAGACGGUGGAUCCUUGCCUUUGCAAGUGAACCCCUCUGGCCCCUGUUCGCUGACCGCCCUGUUGUCCAGAGGGCCCUCGACGACGUGGUUCUUCCGGAUUACGAGGACGAGCUGAAGGAGGCCGAGCCCCCCAGAGGGGACGGUGAGCCACAGGUUCCUCCUCCUCCUCCCUUUGCUGCUCCCUACCCUGCUCCCUACUCUCACCCCUAUGCUGCUGCUUCCUAUGCCGCUGCUCCCUUUCCUCCUCCCUUCCCCCCUCCCUUUGCUGCUCCCUACCCUGCUCACUACCGUGCUCCUUACCCUGCUCCCUACUCUCACCCCUAUGCUGCUGCACCCUAUGCUGCUGCUCCCUACCCUGCUCCCUAUGCUGCUCCCUAUGCUGCUGCUCCCUUUGUUGCUCCCUUUGCUGCUCCCUACCCUGCUCACUACCUUGCUCCUUACCCUGCUCCCUACUCUCACUCCUAUGCUGCUGCUUCCUACUCUGCUCACUACCUUGCUCCUUACCCUGCUCCCUAAUCUCACACCUAUUCUGCUGAACGCUAUUGCUGCUUCCUAUGCUGCCAGUCCCUAUGCUGCUGCUCCCUAUGCUUAUGCUUUUGCUGCCUUUGCUGACCCUUUAACGCUGACCCUCACGCUGACCCUCACGCUGAACUUAACGCUGACCCUCAUGCUGACCUUAACGCUGUCCCUCAUGAUGGUGAUGAUGAUAUGAACGAUGAAAUUAACCGUAUGCUUCAAAGAUACAGGUUAGGGCUCCCCGAUGAGGAGGAGGACUCUGACAUCGAUGUCGUGGGUGAGUUUGCGUUACAGGUCCCUUUACUGGACAUUGAAGACAUCGGGCCAGUGCCCCCAGAAGACUCUUUUGAGGAGCUCCUGGAUGCAGAUGUUCUUGAAUCUCCCUCAACUUCUGGCCUCGACUCCUCGGCAAAACGGCGCAGGGACGAGAGCGACGGGGAGGAGUCUGCUGCGAAGAGGGCGCGGUAGUCUGAAGACAGCGACUCUGAUUGACAAUCCUCCGGGAAGCUUCGGAGCAACCACUGAGUCCACUUGCAGCAGGAACAGUGGUUGCCAUGGUAGCCUUUGCGUCUGGCAGGGCUAGUGUCCCCCAUGUAGCGUCUUGCAUUGGGGCUUUUCUGUAUUAUGUAGUCAUAUUUGCACAAGACAUCGGUCAACCUUUAUUUCAUCCUGAGGCCUUUGCGUCUGGCGGGGCUGUUGACCCCUUCUGCAGGUACUGGUAUCCUUUGCGUCUGGCAGGGCUUGUGUCCCCCAUGUAGCGUCUUGCUCUGGGGCUUUUCUUCUUCUUUGCGCGGUGGAUCGAUCAACUUUUCUUUCAUCCUGACGGCCGGCCUUUGCGACUGGCUUGGCCGGCGCUGCCUCAGGUAGCCUUUGCGUCUGGCAGAGGCGUUGACACCCCGAGCAUGUAGCCUUUGCGUCUGGCAGGGCUGAAGAAGACAAAAAUGCUUUUAUGUCUCGUUUUAUGCCUCCCCCUCCCCCACAGUGUCCACAUUCCUUUACAGGUUAAGAGUGAAGGUAUCAGUGAAAACUGACAAACAACAGAGUAAGUAGAACUCCCAAGGUUAGAAAUGCCUUCAUAUGGCCAAAUAUAGUGUAUGCCGUUAUGGAAAUUCAUAAUAUUCAAAUAUUUACAAUUACUUCCCAUACUAAUUAUGUUUUUAUCCCAUUUGGCCGUGUGAAAAAGUAAGUACCAGCGUCUGUUUUGUUCAGACAGUGACCUAUAACAUGAAUACAAAGUAAUAUUAUUUACUACAAACUGCCUGCUUCAUCUAUUUGUUCAUAGAUCAUUUUUUAUUAUGUCGUGCAAAGAUAAUUUGUUAUAUAACUUACCAUUAUGUGUUGUUACCUCUCUCACUUUGCCACCUGAGAUGCUGCUGUUCAAUGUGGACGAAAAAGGUAAGUAACUUAGAAUAAUCUGUAACCUACAGGCAACGUUAGAAGUAGGUUCUUUUAUUCUAUUGUGAAUCUGUUUAUGCACUUUGUAUGUUGACUCUAUUAUGCAAAUAUUGUUUUUACUAACCAAUACUUUAACCACACUCCAACUGAGCUGCUGCUGUUCACCGAGGACCAAAAGGCCGCUACCUCUCGCUGUGGACUAAAAGAUGAGGAGCAGCAAAGGAGGAAGAGCCGGACUCCGGGUUCCUGCAGGACAUCCAGGGCUACACGUUGAACACUAAAAAGAAACGCCCACAUUCCACUCCCAGGACAAGAUGGAGAGCAGCUAAGUUGAACUACUUCCUGUUCUUCUGUUUCAGAGACUCAACUUCCUGCACUACAUCCAGGGUGACCAUGACGACAGAAGACAAUCGCUCACUCCCGACCAGGGCAGCACUCCUGUUGUAUCCUUUGGAAAUCCUCGUGGUCCUGAGAGUGGAUGUAAACAGAAGUGUAAGCAGCCGUCCACUCAGAACAUUUCUCCACCUCACUGUUUAGAUGAAGAAUUCAAUAAAACACUUCUCAUAGAACCCUUUUGUUUUGGGAGAUUUCUUUGGUUCAAUCUCAUGUUCAUGUGAACCUUUUGGAGCGUUGAAUCGGUCGCAGGUGUCAUGAAAUGCAUCCUGGUUUAAAUGGCCCUAAACCAGCUUUGGAUCUUUCAACAAGCAGGCACACCGAUUCAUGUGGAUUACUCUGUAGAACAGCGGUUCCCAAACUCAAGAAUGCCGCGGCCCAAUUUGAAAUCUGAAAAUCUUUUGCGGCCCACCCAAACCUUUAAUCACAACUCUGAUCAAAACAUAAACUAGGGAUGAUUAAAUGACCUUAAGAAUUUAACCGAUUAAAAAUGUAUUAACAAUGUUUUGUAUACCAUUUUCUCCGGAGCUCCUAUAUAUUUACUUUAAUACUACAAGAGGGCGCCCCAUUUGACAUUGUUUUGUUUGGCGGCGCCUUUUGUUGAAUAACGACAGUCGGACAAGAGCUGGUCAGAUAAAAUAAUUUAAAUCAUAUUUAUAUUCAUUUAAAACUUUUCAAAAUUGAAAAUUAAAAACAUUUAUUGUAAAUGACCUCUCGCGGCCCACACUUUGGGAAUCGCUGCUGUAGAACAUUUCCACUUCCAUAAUAAUACGUAUUUCAUGAGGUAAUUAAGCUUCAAGUUGGGUCUACUGGAGACGAGUAGACAUUUCCUAAUGCUUCUUCCUCAUCUACUUGAGCUCAUCAGAACACGUAAUCAUUCAGGUCUGGGGAUGUUUCCACAUACAGCAGCAUGAUGUAACAAGUAGGCAUUCAAGUCACUGUACAUGGAGAAUGUAACCACUGCAUGCACCUCUUGUACUGGAAACAAUGCAGCCUUAAUAAACAUACGGUAGCUCUGCACCUUGAUCUCUCCAUUUUGUAUUGGAUGAAGUGUGUUCUUCAUUAACUGCACUGGUUUCAAAAAGGAGGAUAAAAUGACUUAGUUUCCCAGUGUAGCAUCUCUACAGAAGCCUCGGCUUCCCUUUCACGCCGGUCUGUUGUCUGAUCCUGGUCCAGCUGUUUCACC